UCCAGACUCCUACGGGAGGCAGCAGUGGGGAAUAUUGCACAAUGGGGGGAACCCUGAUGCAGCGACGCCGCGUGGGUGAAGGAGCACCUCGGUGCGUAAAGCCCUAUCGGCAGGGAAGAAACAGACGGUACCUGACUAAGAAGCCCCGGCUAACUACGUGCCAGCAGCCGCGGUAAUACGUAGGGGGCGAGCGUUAUCCGGAUUCACUGGGUGUAAAGGGAGCGUAGACGGCCAUGCAAGCCAGGGGUGAAAGCCCGGGGCCCAACCCCGGGACUGCCCUUGGAACUGUGCGGCUAGGGUGCGGGAGGGGCAGGCGGAAUUCCUGGUGUAGCGGUGAAAUGCGUAGAUAUCAGGAGGAACACCGGCGGCGAAGGCGGCCUGCUGGACCGCGACUGACGUUGAGGCUCGAAAGCGUGGGGAGCAAACAGGAUUAGAUGCCCGCGUACG
rnacentral:rRNA from 1 species